rnacentral:piRNA from 1 species
UGCAUUUUGUAUUUUCUAUGGUGAUCCAAGU